rnacentral:rRNA from 1 species
UGGGGAAUUUUGGACAAUUGGGCGAAAGCCUGAUCCAGCAAUGCCGCGUGUGUGAAGAAGGCCUUCGGGUUGUAAAGCACUUUUGUCCGGAAAGAAAUCCUUGGCUCUAAUACAGUCGGGGGAUGACGGUACCGGAAGAAUAAGCACCGGCUAACUACGUGCCAGCAGCCGCGGUAAUACGUAGGGUGCAAGCGUUAAUCGGAAUUACUGGGCGUAAAGCGUGCGCAGGCGGUUUGCUAAGACCGAUGUGAAAUCCCCGGGCUCAACCUGGGAACUGCAUUGGUGACUGGCAGGCUAGAGUAUGGCAGAGGGGGGUAGAAUUCCACGUGUAGCAGUGAAAUGCGUAGAGAUGUGGAGGAAUACCGAUGGCGAAGGCAGCCCCCUGGGCCAAUACUGACGCUCAUGCACGAAAGCGUGGGGAGCAAACAGGAUUAGAUACCCCCGGUAGUCCACGCCCCUAAAACGAUGUCAACUAGUUGUUGGGGAUUCAUUUCCUUAGUAACGUAGCUAACGCGUGAAGUUGACCGCCUGGGGAGUACGGUCGCAAGAUUAAAACUUAAAGGAAUUGACGGGGUCAUAGCUGUUUCCU